CGGGAAUUUUGGGCAAUGGGCGAAAGCCUGACCCAGCAACGCCGCGUGAGGGAUGAAGUAUUUCGGUAUGUAAACCUCGAAAGAAUGGGAAGAAUAAAUGACGGUACCAUUUAAAAGCUCCGGCUAACUACGUGCCAGCAGCCGCGGUAAUACGUAGGGAGCAAGCGUUGUUCGGAUUUACUGGGCGUAAAGGGCGCGUAGGCGGCGCGGUAAGUCACUUGUGAAAUCUCUGAGCUUAACUCAGAACGGCCAAGUGAUACUGCUGUGCUAGAGUGCGGAAGAGGCAACCGGAAUUCUUGGUGUAGCGGUGAAAUGCGUAGAUAUCAAGAGGAACACCUGAGGCGAAGGCGGGUUGCUGGGCCGACACUGACGCUGAUGCGCGAAAGCCAGGGGAGCAAACG
rnacentral:rRNA from 1 species